GGUGGUGUUGCUGGAUCAGAUGGUUGUUUCGUUCCCAGUUUUUUGCGGAAUGUCCAUACUGUUUUUCAUAGUGGUUGUACCAAUUUGCAGUCCCACCAGCAAU
rnacentral:pre_miRNA from 1 species